GAAACACAACAUGCUUCCCUUACAAACAGAGAAACACACAAUGCAUCCAUUACACACACACACACACACACACACACCCAAUGCAGCCCUUACACACAAAGACAAUGCAUCCUUUGCACACAUACACAGAAACACACAAUACAUCCCUUAUACACAAACACACACUGCUGCCACUACAUAUAGACACACUGCAACACCUACACAAACUGGUAUCUCUAUACACUACAUACCAUAAGAACACAUAUUAGAUCCCCUACAAUAACACAUCCCCUACACAUUGAAUUUUGUGACCGCAGUUGCAAACAGCCUCCAGAGAUCCUGUUCUACACCAGACCAGAGAAGCCAAACUGCAGCCCAUCAC